CAGUAUUUUUCAUUUACUGUAAAUCCAAAUACAGUAAUAAAAAAAAAUGAGCACGAAACCUGACCAAUGACAGAAAGGCGUUUUUUCUGCUUGGAAAAAGAAGAAGAAGAAGAGGAAAAGGAAGACGCACACACCUCGCAGCUGCAAAUAAAGUUUCACCAUCAAAGUGCGAACAUAAACAGGUCUCUGUCUUCGUUUUGACCACGUCGGUAGCAGGUCACAACAACUCUGGCAGAUGCAAAGAUCAGGCUUGACGACUUCUACUCCAAGGCUGAUCAUUG